rnacentral:rRNA from 1 species
AACGGCUGAACCAGCAACUUGGAGGAAUGUAUAGCAAUAGCUACUUGCAUCAUUGUAAUGAUGAUGCAAGAUCGACUAUGUUGAAUAAAAUUCUAGGUAGAAUUAUGAUAAUGACAUUGUCUGCCUAUGUGUCUUGACCAAAUUACGUGCCAGCAGUCGCGGUAAUACGUAGAAGACUAGUGUUAUUCAUGUUUAAUCGGUUUAAAGGGUACCUAGACGGUAAAUCAAGCUUUCAAUUUUCUUGAAUAAUAAAACAAAAUAAAUAAAACAAGAAGAUAAAUGAUAGGGACUAAUUUGCUAGAGUUACUUAUGAGGGGGUUUUAAAGUACUGCUGGUGUAGAGAUGAAAUUCUGUAAUACCUCUUUUCAAUAGAAAAAUUAUGGCACAGGUAUAGGCGAAAGCAUCCCCUUAUGGGAUAACUGACGUUGAGGGACGAAGGCUUUUUGUAGCAAAUAGGAUUAGAGACCCUAGUAGUUGAAGCAGAAAAUGAUGAAUGUCAUAGAUUAGAUAUAUAAGUUUAUUCUAUAAAUGAAAGUGUAAGCAUUCCACCUCAAGAGUAAUUUGGCAACAUUGGAACUGAAAUCAUUAGACCGUUUCUGAAACCAGUAGUGAAGUAUGUUGUUUAAUUUGAUGAUCCGCAAAAAACCUUACCACAACUUGAAUAUUUAUAUUUUUUAUUGUUUUUUUUUAUUUAUCUAGAAAAUAUAAUAAAAAUAUCAUGAAGAUAAUUAAUGAAGAGGCAAUAACAUAUAUUUACAAGCGUUGCACGGCUGUCUUCAGUUAAUGUCGCGAGACUCUGGUUAGUUCCAUUAAAUUAACGUAAACCCUUACUUUAUUUUUAUAUAAAGUAGUUCCCCGCUAUAUUGGAUAUGAU